CCUACGGGGUGCUGCAGUGGGGGAUAUUGCACAAUGGGGGAAACCCUGAUGCAGCGACGCCGCGUGGGUGAAGAAGCGCCUCGGCGCGUAAAGCCCUGUCAGCAGGGAAGAAAAUGACGGUACCUGAAGAAGAAGCCCCGGCUAACUACGUGCCAGCAGCCGCGGUAAUACGUAGGGGGCAAGCGUUAUCCGGAUUGACUGGGUGUAAAGGGGGCGCAGACGGGGAUGCAAGCCAGGAGUGAAAGCCCGGGGCCCAACCCCGGGACUGCUCUUGGAACUGCGUGGCUAGAGUGCAGGAGGGGCAGGCGGAAUUCCUGGGGUAGCGGUGAAAUGCGUAGAUAGCAGGAGGAACACCGGUGGCGAAGGCGGCCUGCUGGACUGCAACUGACGUUGAGGCCCGAAAGCGUGGGGAGCAAACAGGAUUAGAUACCCCUUGUAGUC
rnacentral:rRNA from 1 species